rnacentral:rRNA from 1 species
AACGAACGCUGGCGGCAGGCCUAACACAUGCAAGUCGAGCGAGGACUUCGGUCCUAGCGGCGGACGGGUGAGUAACGCGUGGGAACGUGCCCUUGCCUCCGAAAAGGCCCUGGGAAAUGGGGGUUAUAACGGGUGGGGCCCUUGGGGGGAAGGUUUAUCGGCGGAGGAUCGGCCCGCGUUGGAUUAGGUAGUUGGUGGGGUAAUGGCCUACCAAGCCGACGAUCCAUAGCUGGUUUGAGAGGAUGAUCAGCCACACUGGGACUGAGACACGGCCCAGACUCCUACGGGAGGCAGCAGUGGGGAAUCUUAGACAAUGGGGGAAACCCUGAUCUAGCCAUGCCGCGUGAGCGAUGAAGGCCUUAGGGUUGUAAAGCUCUUUCAGCUGGGAAGAUAAUGACGGUACCAGCAGAAGAAGCCCCGGCUAACUCCGUG